CCGUAGGUGAACCUGCGGCAGACAUUGUAUAUGCAAACCACAACACGCACGUACCAUAUCUGGUGUUCGACCUGGGGUUGCUUGCCUAACACGCUCGCGGCCCUGCUUUUUACACACCACGACAAACCAAUUACAACCCAAUCACUGAAGCUAUGGCUGCUAUUAAUUGGCGGCUUUUAACCGAGAACAACUCUCAACAACGGAUAUCUUGGCUCUCGCAACGAUGAAGAACGCAGCGAAAUGCGAUACGUAGUGUGAAUUGCAGAAUUCCGUGAACCAUCGAAUCUUUGAACGCAUAUUGCACUCGACCCCUCGGGGAAGAGUAUGUCUGCCUCAGCGUCGGUUUAAACCUCAUCCCUCCCAUGUCACCAUGGGUCGGACUGGCUCUUGCUCGGCCGGUCUUUGGGAUGGACCUGACCUCCCCAAUCGGUGCCUGGCACUGCUUGGGUUGGUUGAAGCACAGAGGCUUAAACUGGGACCCACAUGGGCUCAACUGGAUAGGUAGCUCCACCCGCUUCACGUGGGUGUCUACACGAAGUUGUGUCUGCGGACCUGGUUAGGAGCCAAGCAGGAAUCGGACCGCAAGGUCUGAAUCUAAGGUUCGACCUGAGCUCAGGCAAGGCUACCCGCUGAACUUAAGCAUAUCACUAA
rnacentral:rRNA from 1 species